AAAGAUAUAGCUCAGUGGUAGAGCACAUCCUUAGCAUCCUGAGUUCAAUCCUCAGUACCUUGU
rnacentral:tRNA from 1 species